GAUGAACGCUGGCGGCGUGCCUAAUACAUGCAAGUCGAGCGAACAGACGAGGAGCUUGCUCCUCUGACGUUAGCGGCGGACGGGUGAGUAACACGUGGAUAACCUACCUAUAAGACUGGGAUAACUUCGGGAAACCGGAGCUAAUACCGGAGAAUAUAUUGAACCGCAUGGUUCAAUAGUGAAAGACGGUUUUGCUGUCACUUAUAGAUGGAUCCGCGCCGCAUUAGCUAGUUGGUAAGGUAACGGCUUACCAAGGCAACGAUGCGUAGCCGACCUGAGAGGGUGAUCGGCGACACUGGAACUGAGACGCGGUCCAGACUCCUACGGGAGGCAGCAGUAGGGAAUCUUCCGCAAUGGGCGAAAGCCUGACGGAGCAACGCCGCGUGAGUGAUGAAGGUCUUCGGAUCGUAAAACUCUGUUAUUAGGGAAGAACAAAUGUGUAAGUAACUAUGCACGUCUUGACGGUACCUAAUCAGAAAGCCACGGCUAACUACGUG
rnacentral:rRNA from 1 species